CUGAGUUAAGACAGCUUGAAACCGAAGCUAAAUGUGAGACUGUGGAGUUGCAGAAAGGAGAUGCCAAGUCCAAUGAAGAAACUCAAGGUAAAAAGAAUGAUGCCAUGAAGAACAAGAUAAAACAGAUGACGGACGUGUCACGGAUAAAGACAACUCUGACAAUUGUUGAAGGAGAACGAGACCGAUAUAAGGCAAAACUACUGGCUGAAGAAAAUUCCAGACACCAAC